rnacentral:rRNA from 1 species
UGGGGAAUUUUGCACAAUGGGGGAAACCCUGAUGCAGCGACGCCGCGUGAGCGAUGAAGGCUUUCGAGUCGUAAAGCUCUGUCCUAUGGGAAGAUAAUGACGGUACCAUAGAAGAAAGCCCCGGCUAAUUACGUGCCAGCAGCCGCGGUAAUACGUAAGGGGCGAGCGUUGUCCGGAAUUAUUGGGCGUAAAGAGUGCGUAGGCGGGAAAUUAAGUCUGAUGUGAAAACUAAGGGCUCAACCCAUAGAUUGCAUCUGAAACUGAUAUGCUUGAGUCAAGGAGAGGGAGGUGGGAUUCCUAGUGUAGCGGUGGAAUGCGUAGAUAUUAGGGGGAAUACCGGUGGCGAAGGCGACUUUCUGGGCUUGAACUGACGCUGGGGCACGAAAGCGUGGGGGGCAAACAGG